AUCCAAUACUAAAUUGUCUUGUCAACAUGACAGCCCAAUAAUGAUUUUACAACCAUCGAAACGAUAAAACAGCCAAAGAAUUCUCGACUAGCAGUCAAGUCGGGGCUCGAGGCAAUACGUGAUGACUUUCUUCAUCCAACAUGACAGACCACAUGAUAAUAUAUACAUCGAAUCACCUUGGACUUAGAAGUGGAGGGCAAUUGCUGGG
rnacentral:lncRNA from 1 species